GUUUUUGUUUACAUUUAAACUCUGCUUUUCAUAAAGGAAAGAGAGGGGGAAGAGAAAAGUUUGUUGUGAAUGUUUGAGGGGCAGGGAGACUAUAGUAAAUUGCUGGUUUUAUUUUAUGAAGCUCCAACUCCAAGGAAAUCAAUGAACUGCAUUUUCAUAUUAUGUUGCCCAUUCCCAUUUCUACUAUUUUCCCACCCAGAUGCUAAGCUUAGGUUUGUUGAAAUCACUGACUCCGCCCCCGAAACUUCCGAGUUCGACUCCGAGUUCCCUGAUUGAUCCGCUCGAUACCAAAG
rnacentral:misc_RNA from 1 species